UACGUAGGGCGCAAGCGUUGUCCGGAAUUAUUGGGCGUAAAGAGCUCAUAGGUGGACUUGUUGCGUCUGCCGUGAAAGCCCGUCGGCUUAACCUGCGGGUCUGCGGUGGAUACGGGCAGGCUAGAGGCUGGUAGGGGCAAGCGGAAUUCCUGGUGUAGCGGUGAAAUGCGCCAGAUAUCAGGAGGAACACCGGUGGCGAAGGCGGCUUGCUGGGCCAGUUCUGACGCUGAGGAGCGAAAGACGUGGGGAGCGAACAGG
rnacentral:rRNA from 1 species